UGUGUACGUACGUUUUUUUCUAGACGGAGGGGACAGGAUAUGCGGUUUUACAAAAACCCUGCUACGUGUGGACAAGGCCUCAGUUUUGAAGUGUUUGAAGCUUGAAGUUAGCUGGCAUCGGCCUCAUCAGGCCACGCCUCCUCCUCCUCACUAUCCGGAUGCUGCCUCCGUCUGACCCAGAAAACCUCUGAGCUGGAAGGGAGAGCAUCCCUCGUGUACCAGAUCAGAGAGGCUGGCAGCAGCUGGUGGUAAUCUGCAAUCAGCGGGAGCAGUGCAGGAGCAGGUGGGAGCAGCCCAAUCAGCCACUCCAGCUCCUCUACAUAACCUGACGCCACUCGUCUCUGGACCGUGAACGUUCUCCAACCAGCUCCUACCUCCCCGGAAUCCUGGUUUCCGCCAUCUAGAAUUCUUCUAGACAAUCCAGACUGGGCCAUUCUGGAUCAGCUUGGUCUCCCUCUGUUCUCACUCCUGUCCAAACUGGUUCACUUCCUCCUGCCUCUCCAUUGCCAGAACCCAGCUUCCGCCACACCGUCUCCGACGCCAGCUGCCGGCUACGCCCACGCCAGCCACAAACAGCGGCAGCCGCCAUUCCACCGUGGAACGCCAGCCACUCCAUCAAUCUGCUGGUUCAACCAAACAUCUCCGUGUCUCCGUCCCAUGAUGAAGUCCAGCAGCAGAAGGUUAAGGUCCUCAUGGGCUCCAACUUCAGCAUCAUCUGCUCCACCAGGCCUCAGUAUCCAGGAGGUUCCUUCCAGCUCGUCUUCACCUCCUCCAGCACAACGUUCAACUACGUCCUUCCAACUGUCACACAUUGGGCCGUUUUCCUGUUUCCUGCUGCAGAAGACCUCCACAGAGGGACGUACACCUGUAUUUACCACCUCAACGUUUUCUCCUAUAACUUCUCCUCCACCAGCCAGUCCAUCUAUCUCAUCCCCUCAGGUAGCUUCAGAGUCCAGGAGGGGAAUAGAAGUUCUACUUUCUAC
ensembl:lncRNA